GGCCGUACGAAUCACUCGGGCCUGCAGUGGGUACGGGCAGACUAGAGUGCGGUAGGGGAGAAUGGAAUUCCUGGUGUAGCGGUGGAAUGCGCAGAUAUCAGGAGGAACACCGAUGGCGAAGGCAGUUCUCUGGGCCGUUACUGACGCUGAGGAGCGAAAGCGUGGGGAGCGAACAGGAUUAGAUACCCUGGUAGUCCACGCCGUAAACGUUGGGAACUAGAUGUGGGGGCCUUUCCACGGUCUCCGUGUCGCAGCUAACGCAUUAAGUUCCCCGCCUGGGGAGUACGGCCGCAAGGCUAAAACUCAAAGGAAUUGACGGGGGCCCGCACAAGCGGCGGAGCAUGCGGAUUAAUUCGAUGCAACGCGAAGAACCUUACCAAGGCUUGACAUAUACCGGAAACUUCCAGAGAUGGUUGCCCCGCAAGGUCGGUAUACAGGUGGUGCAUGGUUGUCGUCAGCUCGUGUCGUGAGAUGUUGGGUUAAGUCCCGCAACGAGCGCAACCCUCGUUCUAUGUUGCCAGCACGUGAUGGUGGGAACUCAUAGGAGACUGCCGGGGUCAACUCGGAGGAAGGUGGGGAUGACGUCAAAUCAUCAUGCCCCUUAUGUCUUGGGCUUCACGCAUGCUACAAUGGCCGGUACAAAGGUGGGGCGA
rnacentral:rRNA from 1 species